rnacentral:rRNA from 1 species
ACGUCAAAUCAUCAUGCCCCUUAUGUUCUGGGCUACACACGUGCUACAAUGGCCGGUACAGCGAGACGCAAGGCCGCGAGGCGGAGCAAACCUCAAAAACCGGUCCCGGUUCGGAUUGCAGGCUGAAACCCGCCUGCAUGAAGUCGGAGUUGCUAGUAAUCGCGGAUCAGAAUGCCGCGGUGAAUGCGUUCCCGGGUCUU